rnacentral:rRNA from 1 species
UACCAGACUCCUACGGGAGGCAGCAGUGGGGAAUAUUGGGCAAUGGGCGCAAGCCUGACCCAGCAACGCCGCGUGAAGGAAGAAGGCUUUCGGGUUGUAAACUUCUUUUAUCAGGGACGAAGCAAGUGACGGUACCUGAUGAAUAAGCCACGGCUAACUACGUGCCAGCAGCCGCGGUAAUACGUAGGUGGCAAGCGUUGUCCGGAUUUACUGGGUGUAAAGGGCGUGUAGCCGGGCUGACAAGUCAGAUGUGAAAUCCGGGGGCUCAACCCCCGAACUGCAUUUGAAACUGUUGGUCUUGAGUAUCGGAGAGGCAGGCGGAAUUCCUUGUGCAGCGGUGAAAUGCGUAGAUAUAAGGAGGAACACCAGUGGCGAAGGCGGUCUGCUGGACAGCAGCUGACGGUGAGGCGCGAAAGCGUGGGGAGCAAACAGGAUUAGAUACCCCAGUAACA